rnacentral:rRNA from 1 species
UAGGGAAUCUUCCACAAUGGGCGCAAGCCUGAUGGAGCAACGCCGCGUGAAUGAUGAAGGCCUUCGGGUUGUAAAAUUCUGUCUUCUGUGAAGAACAAGUGUGAGAAGGGAAUGCUCACACCCUGACGGUAACAGAGGAGGAAGCCCCGGCUAACUACGUGCCAGCAGCCGCGGUAAUACGUAGGGGGCGAGCGUUGUCCGGAAUCACUGGGCGUAAAGCGCGCGCAGGCGGCCAUCUACGUCUGGGGUGAAAGCCCAAGGCUCAACCUUGGGAGUGCCUUGGAUACGGGAUGGCGUGAGGAUCGGAGAGGAAAGGGGAAUUCCACGUGGAGCGGUGAAAUGCGUAGAGAUGUGGAGGAACACCCGUGGCGAAGGCGCCUUGCUGGCCGAUUUCUGACGCUGAGGCGCGAAAGCCAGGGGAGCGAACC